rnacentral:rRNA from 1 species
AUUGAACGCUGGCGGCAGGCCUAACACAUGCAAGUCGAGCGGAGCGGCGGACGGGUGAGUAAUGCCUAGGACUCUGCCUGGUAGUGGGGGAUAACGUCCGGAAACGGGCGCUAAUACUGCUUCCUCUCAGAUUAGCCUAGGUGGGAUUAGCUUGUGGGUGGGGUAAAGGCCUACAAAGGCGACGCUCCGUAACUGGUCUGAGAGGAUGAUCAGUCACACUGGAACUGAGACACGGUCCAGACUCCUACGGGAGGCAGCAGUGGGGAAUAUUGGACAAUGGGCGAAAGCCUGAUCCAGCCAUGCCGCGUGUAUGAAGAAGGUCUUCGGAUUGUAAAGCACUUUAAGUUGGGAGGCGUUACCAACAGAAUAAGCACCGGCUAACUUCGUGCCAGCCGCCGCGGUAAUAC